rnacentral:lncRNA from 1 species
AUUUUUGUUUCAGUAUGAAUACAGGAAAAGGAAAAGGCAAGGCAGAAGCCUCAUCAUCCCAAGACUAUCUAAAGACACUAAUGAGCAACACUCGUUUCAGACCACUUACGAUGCUAGAAUAGCCAAAAUUAGAUAGAAUAAUUUUUUAACCCCACAACUUGGUAUGUUACGAACCAUCCAACUUAACUUUCAGACAAAAGCCAGACGUACAAGUGGAUAAGCCGCAG